ACCAAAGCUUCUAAGACAAAUGAGGUACAUAUUUAACUUGGAAAGAUGUAAAAUGCUUUACUUGAAAUGUAAAAAAAGGCAUUGAUAUUUGGAUAUAUGCAAUUGGCAGUUUAUAUGAUGGUGGAUAUAAGCAAAUGCAUCUUAGAAAAACUCCAGUGUGCUUCCUCUCUCACAUUAUGUGACUAUAAAUUUUCCUAGAAUCUUUCCAAUUUUCUUAUGAUCUUUUCUUUCUAGAAGUGUUUCACUGGAACACAGCAAAUCAAGUGGUGUAUCUUUUUCAUUUUCAACAUGAAAGAGGCACAAAGUAUAUUUAUCUGCAGCAUCCUCUAUUUAGCUUAGCUUCUUUCCUGGCUUGUAUGCUUGUUUAUAUACAAAUAGGGGCAUGCAAAUGGUCGGUUCGAUUUCAAACCGAACCAAACUGACAAAACCAAAAAUUGAAAAUCAAGAUUUUGAAAAUUGAACCAAACUGAUCACUAAGAGACAACUGAACUCAACCAAAUCGAUAAAUAUCAGUUCAGUUCAGUUUUAAAUCGAUUAAACUGAAUUUUGCAAGAUUUCAUAUUUUUAACAUCAAAUCUCAAUAACGAAAACAUAAAAAAAAAACUUAGAAAUCAGAACUCAAAAAUCUUAGGGUUUCUUUUUUAUAUAUAUAUAGUUUGGUUAUUUUCAUAAAAAUCAGUUUUUUUUUUUAUGAAAAUAACCAAACCGAACCGAUUAAUCCGAAAUUAUCAAAAUUAUAAACCAAACCAAACCAAUUGAAUUUUAAAACCGAACCGAUGAACUGAAUUGACUCGGUUUGGUUCGGUUUUUCGGUUUGAACCGUAUUGUGCUCAGCCCUAAACAUGAUAUGAAAAAGGCAUCGCCUCUGUCACCUCUCGCCUUUCUCUCUGGGACAGUCGACUCACAUAAUUCAAGCGAGGCACAGCCAAGCAAGGCGCUAGAGGGUCGCCUCACCUCGCCCAACGCCUUUAACAACACUGCAUAUAAGUAUCAACACAUUAUGAUGCACAAGGGGGAAAAAAUCAGUAUGCACACUGAGAGGUUAUAACUUCAAGAUCAAGAAAUUAUGUGGCAAGGGAAUUCAGGCAAGAACAUAUAUCAAACAUCAUUACAACCAAAACCGCAAUUCUGCAAAUUCCACUAACCUUGACAUUGAUGAUACAAGGUCUCUGUUGUUAUUAGAGUGCAAAAUAACACAAAGUAAGUUGUACGCUGCAAAUUCCAUGCAGCAUCCUUCGAUUCCUUCAUCAUACAGGGUUUUUAACUGUGAUUGGCACUGAUUACACUCAGGCAAGUCCCCUACUUCCAUUGCUAACCGAGCAUGAGUUUCAUACACCUUAACUGUUAGCUGAUUUUUUAUUCGUUGUACGGUUAGAUCUUGGCGAAUAGACUUCAAUUGAUCACAUUUAUAAAGGUAGUUCUUCUGAGAAAUUUGAACCAUAAGCAGAGCUUUCUCUAGCACUUCUUCUGGCCUCACAGUGGAAGGAUCAGGUGCAGAAGUGAGUCGCAAAUAACGUUUCUCAAUUUCCUGGCAGGUCCCUUUAACAGUUAGUGCAUCCCAGUCAAUAUCUUCAACAGCCCUGCUUCCACCAUCAUCAAAGUUUUUGCAAAGCAUCAAGGCACUAGCCCGUUUACUGUACAGGUUUCCAGCUCCAGCAUUUUUUGGUUUGAAGUAAUUAAUUUCUGAUUGAUGCCCUUGUACUUUUUCAAAACGCUUAGAGCGAUUUUCACGUUUCUUUUUUUCCUCAGGUGAAUUUGCAAGCGCUAUUGCACCAGAAUAAUAAGCUGCUAAACUUUGUUCCUUAUCACUAUCACUUGAUGCAUUGCCAUUUUCGGCACUAUUAAAAGCAUCAGCAAUACGCUGCUUCUUGAGUGGCUUCUGGGAACCCUUACUCAGAGUUUUCUGCUCCGAUAAAGAGAACUUGAGGUCACUGAAAGCAUCAACCUUGCUCUCAGAAUUCCCAAUAAAAGGCUUUCCAUCCCAACCACCAUAUUUUACAUCAUCAUUACUGACAGUAACAGUUUUUUCAACCAACUUCUCCUCAGGUAAAGGCUCCCACCUACUUUUGGAUCGUUUGCUUGGACUCUUGUACUUCAUUAAUGAAAGAAGAGGAAUUGAAGACUGUGAGCUCUCCUUGUUGGCAAAAUCAGGGUUCGGUAAUGGAAAAAGAGGCUCAGUAUCCCAGUCUCGAGUGUGAAGUGUACCAUCAGCAGUUGCCUUAGUAAUAAUCUCCUUCAUAACAGCCUGACAAGAUGCCAUUUGUGGAUCAUUUUUACAGUGAUCUUGACAACGUUUCAAAGCCCUUUCAACAUAAAAGCGUAGUGAAUUGGGGAACAUGCCAGGCUUCAGUAUGGAAUCAGCCGCAUCAGUAGACAACACUUUAUCACUUUGCUUUGGCAUUGAGACAGCAAUAUAAGCAGGUUUUGCUGCUGCUGCUGCACCAGUUGCAGAACUAUCCUUAUCGGUUUUUGAUAAACCCAAAGCCAAAUUUGACGCAAUUCUCGGAUUUGUUGGAAUCUGCAAUUUGCUUAUCCUUCGUGUAUCCAGUGAUGGGACUGUUUGUGCAGGAGGUUGGUAAUUCUGGGGCACAUGAUGAGCAGGAGCAUAUUGUGAAUUAGGACCUUGACGAACAGUCUUUUGUUGUUCCUCAAAAUUAUCAUAAGAAGUUUUUGAAUCCAAAGAUUUUUGAAAGUGAGGUUGCAUAGGACUAGCAUGAUGAUUUUGAGAACUUGCCACCCCUUGCUUCCAGUAGUUAUCAUGAUUACCACUAGUAGAUGGACCACCCUGCAAAGAUGAAAACUCAGAUGAAGUGGAUUCUGGCCUCCAGGAUGGGGUAAAAGAUGAGGGAGGCUGACUGCUGGAAUUCGGGUAACCAGUAGUAACACCUGGAACUGAAUUCACCUGGUUAGAUGUACUAGCAACAGACAAGUGUUCCGUCCCAGGAGCACAGGUAACUUCUGUUUGAUUGUAAUAAUCUGCCCAUUGCUUGUAUUGUUGUUGGUAAUUUACUGAAUUUGCAACUGCAGUACCAGAGGUAUAAGCACUUGUUGUGUCUGCAGUGUAAUUUGAGUACUGAUGAGUUGUAUAGUUAGCAUAAUUGCCAUCACUCCACAUAGUAGUCUGAUUACUGUAUCCACUACUUGGGUAAGCUCCAGCUGUCUGAUAAUCACCAGGAUUGUAAUAAGUGGCUGGAUAACUUGGAGUCCCAGCAUAAGACCCUGUAUUCUGAAAUGAGGAAAGAGGCUGAUAAGGAGCACCUGUGUUUUGAUAUGCUCCUAGAGGCUGAGAGUAUGCAUGGUUAGGUUGCUGCUGAGAGUAUGAAUGGUUAGGUUGCUGUUGAUAGCCAUUAUAGUAACCUGGAUAUCCUGUGCUUGCAUAACCAUAUGGAUCAGUAGGAUUUGAGUAUGAUGCGUAGCUACUAUAAUCCUGUGAGGCACUUGUAGUUCCCAAAGUUGAUGAACUAGCAAGAGAUGUCGCAUUCAAGCCAUUUUGAACAUUUCUUGGGGUUGGCUCUUUUAGAUGAUCAUGGUGAUAGGUUGAUUCUGUAGAUUGAAUAUCUACCCUAUGCAUGGUCCAUGAAAGAGCUUCAGACCCAGUUGUCGAUGGAAGAUAUGAAAAUGACUGUGGUUGGCUUGUAUCAACAACAUAUCGACCCUCAAGCGAAUUCGGGUCUACAGGAGAUAUAGUUUGCGAAUUAGCUCCGUGAUUCAUCAUUACAUUAACAACCUUCAAUCGAAGAGCACCAACUCAAAAACUGCAACUCAGAGAAAGAUUGGAGAUCGGAAAACGAAGAGAGGAAAUUAGCAAAGAACAAAAAAAAAAAAUUGAGAUCAAAAACCAAAAAAAAAUUCAAAUAAAAUACAAGUAUGGGAUGUGAAUGAAUUAAGCAAUACAAAGAAGAAAUAAAGGAAACUAAAAAUGAAUCGAAAGGAAGAGAAAUUGCAGAGAGAAGCAGCGAGGGCAGGAAGACAAGGGUGUGGGUGUCAAUGUUGGGUCACGAAAUGC
rnacentral:misc_RNA from 1 species